CCUUGCCCAGCCAUACAUCUACAGUAUGCCCAGCCUUACAACUUCCGCAUACAUCUGCUAGUCCCAAGCUGUUUCCUGGAUUCGCAUCCCAAUUUGACGAAUACUCAGCUGCCUCAUUACCCAGCCACACAUGUGCAAUAUGUCCAGGCCUCCAAACCCCUCCUAUAUCUGCUAGCCACAAGCUUCUGCCUGGAUCUGUAGUCCAAGUUGAUGGGAGCUCAUCAGCCGAGGUCCUUUCGACAACAAACGUGGCUGCUCUGCACAAGAGAAUUGCAGAACUGGAGGAUAAGCUGCAAAGCCACAAACGAAGACUGUCUGUUUGUCAGCGGCAGAAAAAUGCUGCAGUACAAGAGAAGAACCUCCUCAAGAGACGGGUUGAUCAGUUUUUAGGAACUGACCAGCUGCAAUGCAUGGAGAGGCCUACGAUGCGUGGCACGCCAUGGUCAACGGCUACUAUAGAGAAGGGGCUGAAGAUCAGGCUCACAUGCGGACGUAGGGGUUACAACAUCGUUCAAGAGAUUGGGACGCCACUGCCAUCGGAACGAACGCU